CAAUAGAGUAGCCAAUCUACUACCGUUUCAAUAUACCGAGAUUUUGUUCGUCAGCUAUCGGACUCAGAGGUGUCAAAGUCGAAGUCAUCCACACUAUCUAAGCCACUUUUUGGUAUUCUUCAGUUGAACUUGAUAAUGGCAUGUAUAGGGCUGACCCUUGUUGUUAAUUAAGUAUCCUUUGGUAAUGUAUAUUCGUAUAGCCAUGCGAAAAUGGCUUGUAUAUUUUGAGUAUAACAUUAUGAUCAUUUUGUA